rnacentral:rRNA from 1 species
UACGUAGGGUGCAAGCGUUAAUCGGAAUUACUGGGCGUAAAGCGUGCGCAGGCGGUUUUGUAAGUCUGUCGUGAAAUCCCCAGGCUCAACCUGGGAACCGCAUCCGAUACUGGAUGGCUUGAAUUCGGGAGAGGGAUGCAGAAUUCCAGGUGUAGCGGUGAAAUGCGUAGAUAUCUGGAGGAAUACCGGUGGCGAAGGCGGCAUCCUGGACCGACAUUGACGCUGAUGAGCGAAAGCUAGGGGAGCAAACGGG